rnacentral:rRNA from 1 species
UUACGGCUCAGUAACACGUGGACAACCUACCCUAAGGAGGGGGAUAACCCCGGAAAACUGGGGAUAAUACCCCAUAGACUACAGAAGCUGGAAUGCUCUGUAAUCGAAAGGUCCGCCGCCUUAGGAUGGGUCUGCGGCUGAUUAGGUUGUUGUUGGGGUAACGGCCCAACAAGCCUGUAAUCAGUACGGGUUGUGGGAGCAAGAACCCGGAGAUGGAUUCUGAGACACGAAUCCAGGCCCUACGGGGCGCAGCAGGCGCGAAAACUUUACAAUGCGAGAAAUCGUGAUAAGGGAACCCCGAGUGCCCGUAAAUUCGGGCUGUUAAUCUGUGUAAAAAGCAGGUGGAGAAAGGGCCGGGCAAGACCGGUGCCAGCCGCCGCGGUAAUACCGGCGGCUCGAGUGGUGGCCACUAUUACUGGGCUUAAAGCGUCCGUAGCUGGAUUGUUAAGUCUCUUGGGAAAUCUACCGGCUUAACCGAUAGGCGUUCAAGGGAUACUGGCAAUCUAGGGACCGGAAGAGGUGAGAGGUACUCCAGGGGUAGGAGUGAAAUCCUGUAAUCCUUGGGGGACCACCUGUGGCGAAGGCGUCUCACCAGAACGGCUCCGACAGUGAGGGACGAAAGCUGGGGGAGCAAACCGGAUUAGAUACCCGGGUAGUCCCAGCCAUAAACGAUGUGCGUUAGGUGUAUCGGUGACCACGAGUCACCGAGGUGCCGAAGAGAAAUCGUGAAACGUA